UUAGGUGGAUACCUUUUUGGAUUAUGAUAAUUUAUCAAAGGGAAUUGUCUUUACUACAGAUCGGCCGUAUCAACCAGGUGAGCAGGUGUUCAUUUCAUAUGGAAAAAAAUCAAAUGGGGAGCUUCUAUUAUCGUAUGGGUUUGUUCCAAGGGAAGGCGCCAAUCCUUGUGAUUCAGUUGAGUUGUCAGUGUCACUCAAGAAAUCUGAUCAAUCCUACAAGGAGAAAUUAGAACUCUUGAAGAAGUAUGGAUUAUCAGGGUGACUAAUGAUUUUAUUAGAAGAUACUUUUAUUGGCUAAGUGAUAUUAUGGUUUUGAUAUGGCUAUGCUUACUUUAGUUUGAGAUG